CAUACCGUUAGGCCAUUUGUUUAACGGGAAUCUUUGUCUUGUAAUUGCAGUGUUUGGCUCAUUUGCAUAUAACGUGAUCAUUGGCAGAGUUGUUUACUUUCUGUUUCCUCCUUAAUCCAUUUUCCUUCAAUUUCUGCCUUCUUGUUGCCUCAGCCCAGCAACUGCCCUCAGUUAUAUCCACCUCCACAGCCUAGGACCUGGGAGGAUGACGCAGGGGAUGUGGCAGAUGUUAAGGAGUCUGAUGCGGGAUUGUUGCUGCAGACUAUCCAGCUCUUUAAACAUUUCACUACAGUGAGUUCCCUUUGUGGCGCAGUGGAAAUGAAGCCGACCUGUAUCCACGAGGAUGCAGGUAUGACCCCUGGCCUCGCUCAGCAGGCUUGGCAGCGUGAUGGGAACAAGGUCAAGAAGACGGGCUGUCUUUGCUGUUUUCACAGCACAGUGAAAAGACCCCAGAGCAUCGGACAAGUCCUAAGUCAGCAGAUAUACCUCUGAUCUGAAACGACUCAGAAGUUUUAGGGGAACAGAUAUACUUUUUUUUCUAGUUACCUUUUCAGUUUUGUCUGCUGUGUCCAGUGGCCAUUGUACCUGCUGGACCUUUCCAAAUAUUGUAGGUUUUCUGCUGAUUCUUGGACGUUUCCCAGGAUGAAGGAACUGCUCCCUGCGGGUUGUCACGUGGCCCACCACUUCUGCCUUGGAGCGAUGAACCCUGUGCUGGGUCCAUCGGAUGGCUCUGCAGGAUGGCUCUUCCGCACUUUCUGGGAGCACCUCUGGCUGGAAGCCUCAGCCACCGGCCAUGCAGGGAUUGCCUCAGCUGAGCAAUGGAACCUCCCCCAGGGCGAUGUCCCCAUUCAGGAUGGCCCGCAGCUCCUGGCCAGACGGUGCUGUUGCUUCACGGCAGCCAAAGGGGCGUCCCUUUGCAAGUCGCCACCUGCUAAGGGCUCCCAAGGUCAUCACCACACAUCCCUUUGUUAUUCUUAAUUCCCUCCUACAGGUGUUCAUUCCAAAUAAGCUUCCCGAUACUAAUCUCCAUCUAAAAAACUGGCUUCCCAGAGGACACAACUUGUGAAACCUUGCAAAGUGCCUGUUAUUUGCUCAUAAUUCUAUACUUGUCACUCUGUGUUUUUGAACCUCAACGUAUUUGAUGUAUCUAAUAUUUUUACUACUUCUUAACUUCAUUUUAAAUUUCCACUAUAUAAAGACUUUCUCAUUUAUGAGAUAAGGCUGGAGGGAUAUAAUAAAUUAAAAAAAAUGAGAUUCUGAAACUUCCUAAUUGUAUCGGACAUUGUGUGGCAUCAAGUGAACGAAUGUAAGCAAAGAGAAAGUCUCUGCCACAGUCCACAUGAUGUGUGACGGUAAACUGUUGGCACUUUCGAUGGGCAGGCUUUAUUAUGUUCCAUCAGGAUGUCAUGGCUGGAGAGUGAAAUAAGGGCUGGUAUAAAUAUCCAUAAAAUGAAGGAUAUCAUAUAGUUUAACAGUAAAAUAAUUGGAGAACAGCCUAAAAAAUAAGCAAGGCAUAUUUCCUCCUUAUUUACAGAAUGGAGAAAUACCCUAAUUAAAUAUAGUUCUUUGGAACUGGUUUAUCCUUCUGCGAAUUAUACGCAAAAUGUCUUCUGCUUAAAUGAGAAUACAAAUUAUAACUGGGUAUCAUAUAAAACUAGCACAUGCUCUACCAGGACUUGGUCCCAUUUGAAAGGGCUCCCAACUGUUUCUGAGGGCUUCCAGUCCGUUGUCACCUCACAGAAAGCUCUGCAUGUCCCUUCUCUUACUGUCUGCUUUUAUCCUCUGAUGUGUAGGUGCUCAUGGAACUCCAUUCUCCCAGCCGAGAGGUGUGUGCUGCUGAGUACUGUCCAUGCACGUGGUGGCCUGAGGAAGUCUCUCCUCGCAUCACUUGUCCUUGAAGUUCACUAGUGGAGCUAAAAAUCAAACCAUCCUUCAAAGCUAAACCUGCCCUUUUAAGCUUGAAAUGAUUAAUUUUUAGUGCCCCCAAAUGCUGGUUAUUUGCCCCAUUUUAUGCUGCAGAUGUGCUUGAAUCCUGUCGAGCUUCCAUGCAGCCAUGAGCAGCCCCAGUGCACCUGAACCCUCCUAAGAUACUCUAUCACCAGCCUGGGGUUUUGGCUUUCUUUGGCCAAUAUAAAUUGACAAGAAGCCAGGCAAGACACUCGGACAAGGCUUUCCUGGGGCCCUGGUUGUAGCAGGGUGAAGCGAAAACCAGCGAUGCGUUCCUUUGCUCACCUGCUCCCUGAGGCAGGGCAAGCUGGUUCCUUAUAUCGGGGGAGGGAGGGGCAGGUCCAGGGCUCUGGCCUAGGGGGUCUGCCUACGCCUUCCAUGGCGUUGUGUGCGGGGGCAUGCGUAGUACCUGCUUUUGCUCUGGACACAGUUUUUUGCUCUGACUCUUCAGAAGGGGCACUAGUCCCUUUUAGUUUUUUUGCCUUGUUGUCUGUAAUCUGUCCCCACUGCACAUGCAGGCUGUUAUUUUUAGCCCCUUAUAAUUUCUUUGUGUUUUGCUGCUGGAGGAGCUGUUUGUCCAGGUACCAGCGUUGCAGCCCCUGAAGCCAAGGGCCCCAGGUGCCAGGACCCAGCUUCUCUCAAGCAGAUUUGAAAUUUGUUUCCUUUUAUGGCCACCUUGCAAGGAAAACCUCUCUUUGCUGCAAAUCUUGGUGUCUCAGCCUUUUGGCUUGCUGUGAACUGACAAAGUCAACCGGUUCUGUAACACUCGGGUUUUACUAACUAUGUGAAAUUGACAAUGGCAUGUUUUUGUUGUUUAUCCAUUAAAAUUUCUGUUCUACAUAGGAGUUAAAAGGUAGGCUUCCCCUUAUACUGAGGUUUCCCCAUUCAUUCAGGCUAAGCAGUAAUCUUUGCUCACAAUAGAUUCUUAAAUUUUCCAAAACUUUAAAGUUCGUUUAGGAUACAAUUCAUGGCUAUUGCCCCUGUGGGUAAUUUACAUGCAAUUUAAAUAGUAGAUACAAUUAACAAUGAGAACAGAGUGAUUGUAAAUACAAAGCUAAAUAACUCAAAUUACACCAAUUCAGUCAUAACAAAAUCACUUGGCAUGGCAUUUUUAAUUUGUUUUACAUUUUCUAAGAAGACAUUUAAAUCCUGCUAAAACCUCUCUUGUAGAAACAAAGUAAUGGAUAGUAUUGUAAUUUAUGGAGUUUGCUGGAAAAUUUUAAUGUACAAGGCCUUUAUAAAUGUAUCUUUGGGAGUUCCUGUCAUGGCACAGCAGUUAACAAACCUGACUAGCAUCCAUGAG